UGCUGUGGAGGAGGUGUCUCCUUCUUGGCUGUCUGGCGUGGAGGACUGCAGGUCUCCUCCAGCGAGCAAGAAGGUGGCCUCCCCAGCGGCAGCCAGGCGUCGUAGGACCUCAGAGAGACUCCCCCCCCCACCACCAGUCUCCUGUGAACAACCUGGUUGGAUCCUCUCCAACCAGGCUGUCACAGAGACUGGAGGACGACGCCCCCUCCAGCCCGGUUCCUCGGUCCAGGACCAUGGACGGACCAUCCCCCCGCACCCAAA